rnacentral:lncRNA from 1 species
GCUGACCCGACGUUACAACUAAAAAUUCCAAUUUAUUGUUGUAUUCUGCAAGACAGUUGGAAUAAGAUAAGAGGUGAUAGAGCGUUUAAAUCAUUGGUUUAAUAUAUUGUGAGAAGAACUGGAUAACCAUAUUUUUCAACAAUUUUUCUUAGAAUCACUACGUAUGUCAGUAGCAUUUUACUAGAUUUGAUGAGAUUUUGUGAUGUGAUGAUAAACCAUGAAUGCAUUAUGUGACAUAAUAAUAUAUCAUGAUGAUGAUGAUUGAAGAUUGAGAUGUUGUCAACUUGUGAUAAAUAUGUUGAUAUAACUCCAUAGUUGAUGAAAUAGUGGCGAUUCCAUCUUGUGUUAAGAUGGUGCUCUUAAUGGAGUAGUCUAGGCCAACAAAUAUAGAAAUUAAAUGUUGGAAGUUUUUGACAUUGAGAUUAUCUUGUCAUCGUACAUGUAAGGUCUGAAAAACUUAGUGAUUUUGGGGUCGUACAACUGAAUGUACUUGAUCGCGGAGGUCUGUUGUUGAUUCUUAUGACAAGAUUGUUAGAUCUUGGGGAUAUUAUGGUGGGGAACUCCUAAGUGACUCGGAGGUAGCCUCCAAAUGCCAGAAGCUACCAUGCAAGACAUAUUUAUCUCGAUUGUCGCGUACAUGUGUCUUGGGUUGAGUUGAAGGGAUCUAUAGAGACAUGGCCAAUUUGAAUUGUAUGUUCACUUACACGGUGGCAUAGUAUCAAGCCAUAUAACCAAAC